rnacentral:rRNA from 1 species
AUUGAACGCUGGCGGCAGGCCUAACACAUGCAAGUCGAGCGGAUGAAGGGAGCUUGCUCCUGGAUUCAGCGGCGGACGGGUGAGAAAUGCCUAGGAAUCUGCCUGGUAGUGGGGGAUAACGUCCGGAAACGGGCGCUAAUACCGCAUACGUCCUGAGGGAGAAAGUGGGGGAUCUUCGGACCUCACGCUAUCAGAUGAGCCUAGGUCGGAUUAGCUAGUUGGUGGGGUAAAGGCCUACCAAGGCGACGAUCCGUAACUGGUCUGAGAGGAUGAUCAGUCACACGGGAACUGAGACACGCUCCAGCCUCCUACGGGAGGCAGCAGUGGGGAAUAUUAGACAAUGGGCGAAAGCCUGAUCCAGCCAUGCCGCGUGUGUGAAGAAGGUCUUCGGAUCGGAAAGCACUUUCAGUUGGGAGGACGAGCAGUAUGUUAAUACCUUGCUGUUUUGACGUUGCCGACAGAAUAAGCACCGGCUAACUGCGUG